rnacentral:rRNA from 1 species
UACGUAGGGUGCGAGCGUUGUCCGGAUUUAUUGGGCGUAAAGGGCUCGUAGGCGGUUUGUCGCGUCGGGAGUGAAAACACCGGGCUUAACUCGGUGCUUGCUUUCGAUACGGGCAGACUAGAGGUAUGCAGGGGAGAACGGAAUUCCUGGUGUAGCGGUGAAAUGCGCAGAUAUCAGGAGGAACACCGGUGGCGAAGGCGGUUCUCUGGGCAUUACCUGACGCUGAGGAGCGAAAGUGUGGGGAGCGAACAGG